rnacentral:lncRNA from 1 species
GGAAAAUUGUCCCAUGGACUCAAUUGCAAUCAUUGAUUGGUGGCAUUUUGACUUCAUCUGCGACCAACAAUUUCACUGAGCAAAAGUGGAACAGUGACAUCUAGUGCCUGAAACAUCACCUCAGUAGCUUUGCUUUCUCCCAGGUCUUUGAUUUUCCAGAAAGAGAGAGAGGAGCUGAAAUCUUGGGAAAAAUUAAAAAUAUCAAAAGAAGAUGCCUACCUGUCAACAACAACAACAACAACAACAAAAGGUAUUUAAGAUAGGUGAACCUGGGA